ensembl:lincRNA
AUGAUCGAUUUUAUAUCUUGUGUAUUUUUCCACAGUUUUCUUAUGGAGCGCAGGCUCAAAGCUGUCACAUGUGUGAUGACAGCUGGACACACAGGUGGAGAAGCUGAGUGGGAGGUGGACGUGGAGGUGGACUGUCCUGACCAGCGUCCCCCGAUGACCACACAGUGCCUUCCCCUCAGAUGGGGCCGCAGCCAGGCCCGCAGCAGGGUCUCUCGCAGUGAUCCUGGUCCUCACCUCAGCCUGCCCCGCGGGCCCUCAGGCAUGGCCCAGCGGCUUGCAGAGGACCUGGGGCAGCUGAGGGAUGGAGAGCCUGGGAGGAGCCCCCGCCCUGAGGCUGCAUUUGUGACACAAGCGUGUGGCCUUAAUGUAGAGAGUAGGAGGUGUGAAGUGGCCUUACGUGACAGUGCAGGAGCCGGUGAUGGGGAUUAUGGAGAUGGCCGAAUCACCUCCAAAAUACCUCCUGGUGCCCGUCCAGGGCCACAGAGCCGACCUGGAGCCUGCAGACCCAGGAGGCCCAUAGUGUCGGGCAGGAGACCCCUGUCCCCAGCUCUGUCCCCAUCCAGCUCUGCAUGAAGAAGCCUUCAUCUUGGGCCCAUGAAUAAACCAGAUUCUACCCCAAACGGCCGUGAGAUAGGCGGGCGAAAGCUGGUUUUGUGUAUAUUUUGCUCAUAUUCUACCACAGUCGGUGUUAUUUUUAUAAUUAGAGCAAGUGUUGGUUCUUUCUUUUUUUUCCAAGAGUCAAAUGCAUCUUGGAAAUCACUCCCAAAUAAGUAGCUAACCCAAGGCUCGGUCUCUGGGGCUUUCUUGAAUGUCCCUGAAGGUAUGCAGUGGAGGGGGGCAGGUGGGAACUUGGGGUGAGAGCUGGAGUCCUGACACACCAAUACUUGGCUUUGCCCAAGCUGUUCAGUAGCUCUGAGCCUCGAUUUUCCUCUUCUAUAAAAUGGGAAUAACAAUGGUAUUUAUUCCCCACAACUGUGAAAGUUAAGUGAGAGUGUGACGUCAAGUGCCCAGUGGAGGGCCACACACUGUCACCGUGGGCACGUAACUGUGUGCCCAGCACUCUCCCUGUGAUAGACCCAACCUGAUCUUUUCUUAAAAUUGGGCAUCUCGCCAUAAAACCAUGAAAAGAUAAUUUCGGCUUUACUAUAAAUUACUGCAAAUUCUGAACCUACUUGGAAUGCCUGCCCGUGCCCUGAACUCACCCAUGUCCGGUUUUCCCUGACCAGAUAAAAACCCUUUCCUAAACCUUACUGACGCCUCAUAAAUUCUGGCCUUCCCUGGCCGGAUAACGACCCUCUCUGAGUCUCUAAGAUCUCCAUAAAUUCUGAUGCCGGGGCCAGCAAAAAUGUAAACUUGUGUUAUGCUCCUCAGAGUGUUGUUAUCUGUAACCCCCCUUCGUGUAACUUUUUGGGCUAUAAAUCUGAGCCACAAAGAAGCCUCGCCACUGUCCUUGGCUCCCACGAUUUUGAUGGGCAAGGAAGCCCGGCCGGUCGAAAUAAUAAGCUUGCUUUAAUUUGAUUUUAAUUGGAGUCAGUGGUCUUUUCUUGCGUCCUGGUCUAACACCUGGCUGGCACAGGCUUGGUCCGUGUGGGAUU